rnacentral:rRNA from 1 species
UACGUAGGGUGCAAGCGUUGUCCGGAAUUAUUGGGGCGUAAAGAGCUCGUAGGCGGUUUGUCGCGUCUGCUGUGAAAAUCCAGGGCUUAACCCUGGACCUGCAGUGGGUACGGGCAGACUAGAGUGCGGUAGGGGAGAUCGGAAUUCCUGGUGUAGCGGUGGAAUGCGCAGAUAUCAGGAGGAACACCAAUGGCGAAGGC